UUGAAUUAAAUUCAAUGCGCAUUGAAUUUAAAAUUACAAGAAUAAUUUAUGAUUACAAGAAACAAAAAAAAAUGCGGCAAAGAUUACUUUAUGAAUAGCAAGUGGGCAAAAUUAAAAUUAUGAGUACAAUACUAAUUUAUUUUUUUCACACAAAAAAAAAUCAAAAUUGCCCAAAUAUACUACAGAUGUGCAUAUUCCAUUUUCUGCGCAAAAUGAGUAUCUUUCAUUACAUUUCUUGCGCAUACAAAGAACAAAAUGCGGCAAAUCUAACUAUGCGCACAAACACUAAUUUUGCGCAUAGUUAAUGCGCAUAUAAUACAUCUAUGCGGCAAAUUGGGCUGUCAAAUAAGGGAGCAUUACACGAAAUUCCAAAUUACAUUUCAGGCACCCAAUCAUUGUCGUCAGUGUGCAGUACAAACACAGCUUUUUCCUGCCAAGAAAAUAUUUAAAAGAUAGAAUGGAUAUGGAGUGUAGCAAUUUGAAAAAGUGGAUAUUUCAAAAAUUCACUCUAGGAAAGGUGGGUAGUUUAGAAUUCCUCCCUUUAUU
rnacentral:lncRNA from 1 species